rnacentral:tRNA from 1 species
ACGGUAGACAAAUAUGUUGGCAGGUGUUUGGACGUGGGUUCGACUCCCACCAGCUCCAUCAAUGCUUACCGU